UCCGGAGGACUAAGAAAGUGGAGCCAGUGAAAGCAUAUUGCCUCCGCUGAUACUCUCCUCCUACAUUAAACGGUGGAAGAACAAGGCCUGUCUGAAAGAUGGAGUCAGGACCUACUUCCUCUACCUACAAAG
ensembl:scaRNA